rnacentral:rRNA from 1 species
UACGUAGGGUCCGAGCGUUGUCCGGAAUUAUUGGGCGUAAAGGGCUCGUAGGCGGUCUGUUGCGUCGGGAGUGAAAACUUACAGCUUAACUGUGAGCGUGCUUCCGAUACGGGCAGACUUGAGGUAUUCAGGGGAGAACGGAAUUCCUGGUGUAGCGGUGAAAUGCGCAGAUAUCAGGAGGAACACCGGUGGCGAAGGCGGCCCCCUGGGCAGUAACUGACACUGAGGCGCGACAGCGUGGGGAGCAAACAGGG